rnacentral:rRNA from 1 species
CAACGGAGCUUUACCAUGCAGUCGAGCGGAAGGCCCUUCGGGGUACUCGAGCGGCGAACGGGUGAGUAACACGUGAGCAACCUGCCCCUGACUCUGGGAUAAGCCCGGGAAACUGGGUCUAAUACCGGAUACGACCGCCCCCGGCAUCGGGUGGUGGUGGAAAGUCUUUUCGGUUGGGGAUGGGCUCGCGGCCUAUCAGCUUGUUGGUGGGGUAGUGGCCUACCAAGGCGACGACGGGUAGCCGGCCUGAGAGGGCGACCGGCCACACUGGGACUGAGACACGGCCCAGACUCCUACGGGAGGCAGCAGUGGGGAAUAUUGCGCAAUGGGCGAAAGCCUGACGCAGCGACGCCGCGUGGGGGAUGACGGCCUUCGGGUUGUAAACCUCUUUCAGCAGGGACGAAGUUGACGUGUACCUGCAGAAGAAGCGCCGGCUAACUACGUGCCAGCAGCCGCGGUAAUACGUAGGGCGCAAGCGUUGUCCGGAAUUAUUGGGCGUAAAGAGCUCGUAGGUGGCUUGUCGCGUCUGCCGUGAAAGCUCGCAGCUUAACUGCGGGUCUGCGGUGGAUACGGGCUGGCUAGAGGUAGGUAGGGGAGAACGGAAUUCCUGGUGUAGCGGUGAAAUGCGCAGAUAUCAGGAGGAACACCGGUGGCGAAGGCGGUUCUCUGGGCCUUACCUGACGCUGAGGAGCGAAAGCGUGGGGAGCGAACAGGAUUAGAUACCCUGGUAGUCCACGCUGUAAACGUUGGGCGCUAGGUGUGGGGAUCUUCCACGAUCUCCGUGCCGGAGCUAACGCAUUAAGCGCCCCGCCUGGGGAGUACGGCCGCAAGGCUAAAACUCAAAGGAAUUGACGGGGGCCCGCACAAGCGGCGGAGCAUGUUGCUUAAUUCGACGCAACGCGAAGAACCUUACCAAGGCUUGACAUCGCCCGGAAAGCUGCAGAGAUGUGGCCCUCUUCGGACUGGGUGACAGGUGGUGCAUGGCUGUCGUCAGCUCGUG